UUUCCGAAUUUAACCCAUUAUAUAGAGGAAUCUGCCUAUCAGCGGGGGACUACCCGGGCCUAUCUCGGGCUAAUACCGCAUACGCUCUACGGAGGAAAUCCGGGGACCGCAAGGCCUGGCACUGAUAGAUGAGCCCAAGUCUGAUUAACUAGUUGGCGGGGUAACGGCCCACCAAGGCGACGAUCCGUAGCUGGUCUGAGAGGAUAUCAGCCCACCGGAAUGGAAACAGGUCCGGACUCCUUCGGGAGGCAGCUUGGGGAAUAUUGGACAAUGGGCGCAAGCCUGAUCCUCCUUCCGCGUGAGUGAUGAAGGCCUUACGGUUGUAAGCUCUUUCGGCGGG
rnacentral:rRNA from 1 species